CAUGUCUUUUACUGCUCCUCCAGCUCCAGAAGAUGCUCUUUUUCACCUUGGUACUAGGAUCCACAAGGAGCGAGGGUAGCGAAUGCAGGAAACAGCAAGAGCAUUUCCAUCAGAAGGGUGAUAGAGACAGGAUGCGUCACUGCUCACUGGCUCAGGCCAUUUUAAGAAAAAAACAAACAAACAAAAAACACAAAACACAGUAUUAAAGCAGGGCAUAUGUUUCAGAGGUGGCUUGGGAGAAAAGAUGAAAUACUGAAUUUAAAGAGUUUGAAGCUUGGUUGUGGGUAACUGUGAUCUGGGAUAUAUAUUUUAGAAACUGUAUGGGUCACCAACAUGAAAAUACCUCUUUUUUUUUUUUUUUUUUUUUUUUUUUUUUUCCAGCUAAACUGCAUUAAAACAAAGGUUAUAUUGUUCUAAGUACUAUCUCAUGUCAGCAAUUAGUGGGACCACACCUUAUGUUAUCAGUGCCCAGAGACCAGCUUCAGACACCUGGAGCUACAGAUGGAUGCACUAUAUAACCCUGACCAUCAGACCUGUCUACACAUUUAUGAAGAAAGGUGGAAACCCUCCAACACAGAUAUUUCAAAAGAAGAAUAACAAUUCAGUUUUACUGAUCCAUUGGGAAAAAAAGACACAUGAACUGAGUUUACUAAAGAUCCAUAGACAGUCUUUGCAUCUCCUUUCAACAUCAAGGGUUAUCCUGACAGCAAAGGGCAUGUAUAUGCUUUACAAAAGGAAGGGGAUGAUAUACUGCACUAUAGACAUUGCUGUUUGUUGGUACUUUUGUCUCAGAAGUCACAGCAUCAAGUGACAUUUGUAUGUAUGACAUUAGUUGAGUGACUAUGCAUACACAUAUGUACCUUCAAACAAAUAAAAGCAAUGUGUUAAUUAUUAGAA